UACGGAGGGUGCGAGCGUUAUCCGGAUUCACUGGGGUUAAAGGGUGCGUAGGUGGGUUUGUAAGUCAGUGGUGAAAUCUCCAGGCUUAACCUGGAAACUGCCAUUGAUACUAUAGAUCUUGAAUUUUCUGGAGGUAAGCGGAAUAUGUCAUGUAGCGGUGAAAUGCUUAGAUAUGACAUAGAACACCAAUUGCGAAGGCAGCUUGCUACAGGGAUAUUGACACUGAGGCACGAAAGCGUGGGGAUCAAACAGG
rnacentral:rRNA from 1 species